rnacentral:rRNA from 1 species
UACGUAGGGUGCGAGCGUUACUCGGAAUUACUGGGCGUAAAGCGUGCGCAGGCGGUUUUGUAAGCCAGAUGUGAAAGCCCCGGGCUUAACCUGGGAAUGGCAUUUGGGACUGCAAGGCUGGAGUGUGGCAGAGGAGACUGGAAUUCCUGGUGUAGCAGUGAAAUGCGUAGAUAUCAGGAGGAAUACCGAUGGCGAAGGCAGGUCUCUGGGCUAACACUGACGCUCAUGCACGAAAGCGUGGGGAGCAAACAGG